AUGCUUACCUGGCUGGGGAGACACCAUGAUCCUGAAGGUGGUUUUCCCAGGGUGAGGCUCAUCUGUUGCACUCUGGGUGUGCUGACCCCUGCGAUUUCCCCAAAAGUGGGAAACUCUCGUGCAUCAUUUGUGCUAGUAGGGGUUACAUUCACACUCUCCCCUG